CUCUCUCUCUCUCUCUCUCUCUCCUUCAAAUUACAUUUUCAAUACUAUUUGCAUGAAUUCAGAAGACCCCCUCAACAAGGCUCUCAAUGCACCCAACAAUUCUUGCACUUCGCAAAUACAGAAGCCAUUAAUUCUUGCACUUCGCAAAGGUAAUAAACUAUUAGUUAUUUCAUUUUUUCUCCUUCAAUUUGUCUUGCAGGGCAAUUAUAUUGAGUUCGAGAGGAAAUUUGUCGCUGUGUACUUUCCUCCCAAUGCCAAAAAGAGGUGGUGUGUUUCUCUGUAAGGAAAUGGUCAGCAAACAACUGGUGUUGUCCCUCGGGUUUGUUGCUGGAGAAAACCUGUCUCCUUGUUGAUGUUAGGACUCAUUGGGGAGAUUGAAUCUAGGUAGUCUUGUUGUAGGGGAUUCUGGUACCCGUAAUAUUACGUCAUCCUUCAUCAUGUGUACCUAAUAUGGGUUCUUUCAGUAUUGGACCAAGAGGGUGAUUCUCUGAUUUGUUUGAUGAAAUUUCCAAAUUAUAUUUGUUAUGUAGUUAAUGUUUGUUCAGGUACUAAUACAAAGUGUCAAAUGGAUUAUAUCUCCUCUCUUAGUUAUUUAUAUUGGACGUUAACAUGCAACAUGCUUUUUUAAUAUAAUUUUUGCAGGAUGUAUGGCACUGCAAAAUAUGCAAUCCCAGGCCUGGUCGGGGUUUUGGCAUUCUUUUUGGUUUAUUGGUCUUGAAAAUUUUUAGUGCUGCUAUCUUGUUUUUCAGUUUGCGAUUAGUGUUAUCCCCAAUCUCAUAAUCACGCUUGUUAGUUGUUGGCACUCUAGAAUUUUUAAGACAAGAUUGUUCUUCACUUUUAUACAUUCUAUUUGACAUUUACCCUUUUCAGAAGCUAGGGAUGAAGUUUUACCCAGGCUUUGCAAAUUCAAGUAUGAUAGUGGUACCCUGGAAGAACUUAUCAAUGUUGAUAUGCCACGUGAAUAUUAGAAUGCAGCAGGGCAAAUGGCCCUAGACUAUGCGAAAGCAAUAAAGGAAAGUGUAUCUGAGCAACUGCGUGUAGUUCGUGAUGGUCAGCUAAGAAUUGUUUUUCCACAUGAUCUAAAGAUUUGUUCUUAGGAAUUUUGUGCUCGGCGUCAUGAGGAGCUCAUUCAUCCAAGGUUGAUCAUUCCUCAGGUCAGAGUCAUAGAAAUGCCCGUCGUUCUCAUUGCUAUAGUUCAGAACUUGAUGACAUAGAUGUGAAAGGAAAGUCCACAAGCAGAGGAUACCAAUUAAAGAUCAUAGAUCAAGAUUACACAGAAAUUCGUUUUGAUGACUCACAGGAUUCCUCCUGUAAAAGCAUGCCAUAUGGACCAGCUGGGUUAGCAGGUAAUGAAGAGCAGAAGAGGGAUCUAUAUAUCAGAGCUCAAAAGAAGUGAGGAAAGUGAAGAAUUGGGAGAGUUUUUGAGGGAAGAAAGAUUGAAUUGUUGCUCCAGGAAACUCUUAACAUUGGAGGAGCUCCUCUACUGUCUUGGUAACACCCCUGGCCUGGUGGUAUAGACUCUCUGCUAUAACUGCAACCAGGGAGAAAACCGCUAAAUGGCUUGAGUUGCAA